UGGAUCACCUCCUAACAGGGAGACAACAAAAUGUUUAAUAUUAUUAUUUUGUCACCUUAGGUCGAUCGGUAUCUCACAUUUUUAAUUUAUUAAGAAUUUCAUUUCCUAAGUUUUUCUAGGUCACACCCAUUAUUUUUCCUGGGCCAUUAGCUCAGGUGGUUAGAGCGCACCCCUGAUAAGGGUGAGGUCCCUGGUUCAAGUCCAGGAUGGCCCAUAUCUCUAUGUUGGGGGUAUAGCUCAGUUGGUAGAGCGCCUGCUUUGCAAGCAGGAUGUCAGCGGUUCGAGUCCGCUUACCUCCACUGAUUACCACCUCUUCCAUAACCGGUAGAAAGGAAAUGUUUUGAGUUGUGAUCAAAUUCUGAAAGAAUCUAGCUUCCUAAUGAAAUCAUUAAGAUGCUGGACUCAUUGAAUUAAUUUCAUUGUUUUCAGAGAACCUUGACAACUGCAUAGAUUAUUUUAAAGACAAUAAGCAUCUUUAAUGAUGCAGAUUUAUUAUUUGUGCGAAUGCAUUAAUAACAAUUCUAUUAAGCUGAUGCUUCAAUUUUGAAGUUAUUGGUCAAGCUACAAAGGGCUCACGGAGGAUACCUAGGCACACAGAGGCGAUGAAGG
rnacentral:tRNA from 1 species